GCAACUUCAAUCGUCUACGCGUCACUUGUGUGCGUAACAUACCACGGGUCCCGUUCCUUGUCCAGAUGAAUGUUUUUGCUGCUGGAGUUUCCAUGAAAUCUCAAGGCAGAACCACCCCAAGCAAAACUGACUAGGUUUAUCUUUUUGUCUUCCAUAAUCUUCUCUCUGUAGAUCUCGAGAACUCACCAUGUCUGCAACUAAUUUCGACCACCGAAGACAAUCAAUACCCUAACCUCCUUCCUCAGAGCAGCAGCAGAUUCAUUUUCUCGAUCUCAGAUUCAAAACAAAAACCUAGUUUGAUUUCCCGUUCAUACACAGCAACAAUAACACGAACUUCUUCUCCUUAAUAUCGAAUUCAUCAGCACCACCAGCAGCUGUUUCCAAUUUCUCGAUCUCUCGUUUCUGAAUUUCAGAUGGCUGUAUUAAUGAGGUCGGAAGAAAAACUAGAGUUGUCUGAAUUCAACUCGACCUAAGUAAAUCAAAUAAUCUGAGCGAUCAAUUUUCUUCUUUCUUGUAUACCAAUGCUAAUGAACGAUUCAGACCUAACAAAUCAUCGAAUUACAAAAGAAAUGAGUUCAUCACAAAGGUUCAAUCGCGGUUGAAACUGGAAGAAAUCAUCCAUGUUAGUGAAAGGCUUGUUCCUGCCCACUGCCGCUUCUCCUGCCACAACUGUUCUUCAUGCCCAACAAAGAAAAAUGAGUUGUUGGUCAAAGGACCCAAGGAACUGGCAGAAAUGAGUACAUGCCAAGUUUUUAUAUGAAGAACACUUUAUUGGCAGUGAAAAGAAAAAGAAGAAUACAUCACCGGAUUAAAGUUACAGGAGUUGCAGGACAGGGUUGCAAGCAAGAAAAGAAAUUGUUGAUUUUCAUGAAGAAAAUGGUGUUGCUUGAGAAUUAUAGUGUCUUAACUACACUGGUUGUAGGAUCAGAAUCUCGCAACAACAAUAUUUCAGCGAAAUUAUUAACAACACAAUACAAUAGCGUCGCAGAAUAAUUUCAGGAAGAAUAUAAUAAAUGACGUCACCUAAGAUCACAA